GACGUUUUGCCGUCGUCAUCACCUUCUCCACAUCGAAUCUUCACUGUCACCACCUUCUUACCGUCGACGUUUUGCCGUUGCCAUCACCUUCUCCACGUUGAAUCUUCACCGUCACCAUCUUCUUCUUACCGUCGACGUUUUGCCGUCACCAUCACCUUCAUCCCGUCGAAUCUUCACCGUCACCACCUUCUUCUUACCGCCGACGUUUUGCCGUCGCCAUCACCCCACGUCGAAUCUUCACCGUCACUACCUUCUUCUUACCGUCGACGUUUUGCCGUCGCCAUCACCUUCUCCACGUCGAAUCUUCACCGUCACCAUCUUCUUCUUACCGUCGACGUUUUGCCGUCGCCAUCACCUUCAUCCCGUCGAAUCUUCACCGUCACCAUCUUCUUCUUACCGUCGACGUUUUGCCGUCCCCAUCACCUUCAUCCCGUCGAAUCUUCACCGUCACCACCUUCUUCUUACCGUCGACGUUUUGCCGUCGCCAUCACCUUCUCCACGUCGAAUCUUCACCGUCACCAUCUUCUUCUUAAAGUCGUCGUUUUGCCGUCACCAUCACCUUCAUCCCGUCGAAUCUUCACCGUCACCACCUUCUUCUUACCGUCGACGUUUUGCCGUCGCCAUCACCUUCUCCACGUCGAAUCUUCACCGUCACCACCUUCUUCUUACCGUCGACGUUUUGCCGUCGCCAUCACCUUCCCCACGUCGAAUCUUCACCGUCAUCACCUUCUUACCGUCGACGUUUUGCCGUCGCCAUCACCUUCUCCACGUCGAAUCUUCACCGUCACCAUCUUCUUCUUACCGUCGACGUUUUGCC
rnacentral:lncRNA from 1 species